GUCCACCACCAUGCCACCCUGAUCAGAUCUCAUCUGAUCUCGGGAGCUAAGUAGGGUCAGACCUGGUUAGUACUUGAAUGGGAGACCAUGUGGGAAUACCGGGUGCUGUAGGCU
rnacentral:rRNA from 1 species